rnacentral:lncRNA from 1 species
GCGUGAUUGAGUAACCUGUAUGUGGAAUUUGAAUGCCAAAUAUUUAAGCUCAGUGCUGCUCUCCAUGUUCUUACCUUAGCCGUGCAGCUGCCAUUCAAGUGUGGAGAGCACUCAGAGCAGAGACUGUUGCUGCACUUUGAACAGAACUUCUGGUUUAAAUUCAUCCAAAAGGAAUCCCCUUCAAAUGCAGAAAAACUGCCCCACAGUCUGAGCCAACAUGGAGUAAGUGGGGAAAUGAGGGAUUGCUGCACUUGGCUGCUUUGAGCUUUGUCACUAUUGUAGACAUAUUUUUAGCUAAUCAUUUACGGCUUGCAGAUUUUUGAUACUUAGAAUAAAAAUUGUUUUACUUAGUUGAUUUGAAAAUACCUAACAUAUAUGCACGUAUUCUCAAAUGCUGCAUUCAUUCCUUCCCUGCUGGAUCUUAAUCCUUUAUCUG